UUGAGGAAAAUCUUAAAUUUAAAGGAGAUUAUGGGGUUUUAAACUCACUGGUUGGUUUGGCUUGUUUAGUGUUGAUGUCUUGCAGGAAUUAAAGGAUACCUAGGGGGAAAAGGAGCUCUGAAAAUGGCUAAAAAUGGAAUAAAGGCCAAGGUCCAUGUGCUCGGACCUUGGGAUGCCAAGGGAAAAGUGUGAAUGCCACCAGGGUCAAGACGUGGAGGGGGAUCCCUAAAAAGCAAGUUGUGUCAUAAUACAGCAACUUGGCUGGACAGAGCUCAAGGAGGUGUGGGGUGAGGCAGUCCUUAAAGCAGGAACCCCGUGGGAUCCCAUGGAAUUACUUGGGAACGUGGUAUUUUGGGGGGGUUUCCAGAAAAAAAAACCCAAACUUGACCAGGCUUUGCAGCAACUCCCUGGAAUCCCACUGAUGAGAGUGAGACACCAGGUAUUUUUAGGGUUAUUGUGAGGAGAUAAUUCUGGUUGCCCUACAAAAAGGAAUCCGUGGCUCCAGGUGAGGAUCAGAGCCAGCUCUCCAAACCAGAAGCGCCCUGGGAGGUCGGAUUCAGCUCCGAGGAGUUCUGGAUAAAACUGGGACGUUAUAAACUCCAUCCAUUCAAAGGAGCUGCUGUUCCAGAGGAAUUCAGAUAACCCCAAAUCUUGUGGUCUUGCUGCAGCACUUCCAGGGCUGAGAAGCAGAACUCUGGAUUUUUUUAUUUCCCCUCUAUUUGGGAGUCUCUGGAGCUUCUGAAAUAUGGAAGUUCCUCACCCAGAGCAAAAAAGGAUUGGAACAUGCAAAAAUUUGGAGGAAAACGGG